rnacentral:rRNA from 1 species
AGAGUUUGAUCCUGGCUCAGGAUGAACGCUGGCGGCGUGCCUAAUACAUGCAAGUCGAGCGAACGGACGAGAAGCUUGCUGCUCUGAUGUUAGCGGCGGACGGGUGAGUAACACGUGGAUAACCUACCUAUAAGACUGGGAUAACUUCGGGAAACCGGAGCUAAUACCGGAUAAUAUUUUGAACCGCAUGGUUCAAAAGUGAAAGACGGUCUUGCUGUCACUUAUAGAUGGAUCCGCGCUGCAUUAGCUAGUUGGUAAGGUAACGGCUUACCAAGGCAACGAUGCAUAGCCGACCUGAGAGGGUGAUCGGCCACACUGGAACUGAGACACGGUCCAGACUCCUACGGGAGGCAGCAGUAGGGAAUCUUCCGCAAUGGGCGAAAGCCUGACGGAGCAACGCCGCGUGAGUGAUGAAGGUCUUCGGAUCGUAAAACUCUGUUAUUAGGGAAGAACAUAUGUGUAAGUAACUGUGCACAUCUUGACGGUACCUAAUCAGAAAGCCACGGCUAACUACGUGCCAGCAGCCGCGGUAAUACGUAGGUGGCAAGCGUUAUCCGGAAUUAUUGGGCGUAAAGCGCGCGUAGGCGGUUUUUUAAGUCUGAUGUGAAAGCCCACGGCUCAACCGUGGAGGGUCAUUGGAAACUGGAAAACUUGAGUGCAGAAGAGGAAAGUGGAAUUCCAUGUGUAGCGGUGAAAUGCGCAGAGAUAUGGAGGAACACCAGUGGCGAAGGCGACUUUCUGGUCUGUAACUGACGCUGAUGUGCGAAAGCGUGGGGAUCAAACAGGAUUAGAUACCCUGGUAGUCCACGCCGUAAACGAUGAGUGCUAAGUGUUAGGGGGUUUCCGCCCCUUAGUGCUGCAGCUAACGCAUUAAGCACUCCGCCUGGGGAGUACGACCGCAAGGUUGAAACUCAAAGGAAUUGACGGGGACCCGCACAAGCGGUGGAGCAUGUGGUUUAAUUCGAAGCAACGCGAAGAACCUUACCAAAUCUUGACAUCCUUUGACAACUCUAGAGAUAGAGC